CGGGUGCCGACGAGUGGCGAACGGGUGAGUAAUGUAUCGGAACGUACCUUUCAGUGGGGGAUAACGUAGCGAAAGUUACGCUAAUACCGCAUAUUCUGUGAGCAGGAAAGCAGGGGAUCGCAAGACCUUGCGCUGAUUGAGCGGCCGAUAUCAGAUUAGCUAGUUGGUGAGGUAAAGGCUCACCAAGGCGACGAUCUGUAGCGGGUCUGAGAGGAUGAUCCGCCACACUGGAACUGAGACACGGUCCAGACUCCUACGGGAGGCAGCAGUGGGGAAUUUUGGACAAUGGGGGCAACCCUGAUCCAGCCAUGCCGCGUGAGUGAAGAAGGCCUUCGGGUUGUAAAGCUCUUUCGGCCGGGAAGAAAUCGUAUGGGGUUAAUACCCUGUGCGGAUGACGGUACCGGCAUAAGAAGCACCGGCUAACUACGUGCCAGCAGCCGCGGUAAUACGUAGGGUGCGAGCGUUAAUCGGAAUUACUGGGCGUAAAGCGCGCGCAGGCGGUUUUGUAAGACAGGCGUGAAAUCCCCGGGCUCAACCCGGGAACUGCGCUUGUGACUGCAAGGCUAGAGUACGGCAGAGGGGGGUGGAAUUCCACGUGUAGCAGUGAAAUGCGUAGAGAUGUGGAGGAACACCAAUGGCGAAGGCAGCCCCCUGGGUCGAUACUGACGCUCAUGCACGAAAGCGUGGGUAGCAAACAGGAUUAGAUACCCUGGUAGUCCACGCCCUAAACGAUGUCAACUAGGUGUUGGGUGGGUAAAACCAUUUAGUACCGGAGCUAACGCGUGAAGUUGACCGCCUGGGGAGUACGGCCGCAAGGUUAAAACUCAAAGGAAUUGACGGGGACCCGCACAAGCGGUGGAUGAUGUGGAUUAAUUCGAUGCAACGCGAAAAACCUUACCUACCCUUGACAUGUCCAGGAGCCUGAAGAGAUUUGGGUGUGCCCGAAAGGGAACUGGAACACAGGUGCUGCAUGGCUGUCGUCAGCUCGUGUCGUGAGAUGUUGGGUUAAGUCCCGCAACGAGCGCAACCCUUGUCGUUAAUUGCCAUCAUUUAGUUGGGCACUUUAACGAGACUGCCGGUGACAAACCGGAGGAAGAUGGGGAUGACGUCAAGUCCUCAUGGCCCUUAUGGGUAGGGCUUCACACGUCAUACAAUGGUCGGUACAAAGGGUCGCCAACCCGCGAGGGGGAGCCAAUCCCAGAAAGCCGAUCGUAGUCCGGAUCGUAGGCUGCAACUCGCCUGCGUGAAGUCGGAAUCGCUAGUAAUCGUGGAUCAGCAUGUCGCGGUGAAUACGUUCCCGGGUCUUGUACACACCGCCCGUCACACCAUGGGAGCGGGUUCCGCCAGAAGUAGGUAGCCUAACCGCAAGGGGGGCGCUUACCACGGCGGGGUUCGUGACUGGGGUGAAGUCGGAA
rnacentral:rRNA from 1 species